AUUUCAUGGGCUCAAGGCAUGAAUUUAAAAAAAAAAAGUUUAAAAAAAUAGGGAAAUCGAUUUACCCAGUUAGGUAAAUCGAUUUCCCCUACGCAGACACCAAAAAUAAGCCUUUUUUUGCACAAAGGAUAUUUGGUUCCCCCCACUUUCCCACUUGCUUUCCCUAUAAAUAGAUGCACUAUUCCCCCUCAUUUUUCAUGUUUUCUAGCCCCAAAAAAUUCUGAAAAAAUAUCAUC
rnacentral:lncRNA from 1 species